ACCUUAAUGCUCCCAUAGGAAACCUGUCUUUGGCAAGAAGUGCCGACAACAGCUGCAUACAAACACACGCAUUAGUUAUCAACAGACAGCACAGUACAUGACAAUAUAAAACACAACAAAA